AUACUUACCUGGCAGGGGAGAUACCAUGAUCAUGAAGGUGGUUCACCCAGGGCGAGGCUCAGCCAUUGCACUUCGGUUGUGUCACUCGUGCGAAAACGCCAAAUGUGGGAAUCUCGACUGCAUAAUUUGUGGUAGUGGGGGACUGCGUCCGCGCUCUCCCCUG